UUCACCAAUAUAUGGGUCAGAAUUAUAACGAAUACUUAAUUACUGCAAGAAGUUAAUUCAAUGUACACAUCUAUCUAUUACAUACUAAGAAUACAUGACAAACUAACCGGAAACGAAGAUAAAGACUAGGAAAAAAACUCAAAAGAAUCUGGCCGUUAAAAUGCACACCCAUCGAAUCACGACCAUCGAAUAUCCGUAACCGUAAUAUCUAAUACGUAGUAAAAGUGGUGCUUGGAUAGGAGUCAGUGGUUCCCCGUAUCAUUGUCCUUGGACAGGAGACAGUGGUUCCCCGUAUCACGACGUGAUCUCAGCGGUGUGAUGCUUGUCGGCAGCAUCUAUGGCACUCCUUGACGUGCUAGGUGCUCGAGGCGUCCUCAGGAGUGAUCGUUGGGCGAUGAUGGUGAUGGUUGUAUUCUCUGCAUAGUGAUCUCGACAGCAUGGUUCAUUUCAACGGAGCCAACAACACUCCUUCCUGCACUUCUUGGUUGUGCUCAUGGUGCUUAGCUAAGUAUAUGGCAUGGUGGCGUUUCUCUAGGAGCUAGCUCGUUGUCUAGCUUUCUAUUUUUGUUUCCCUUAUUCUUUCUUGCGUAAGUGCGCUUGGGCUACGUUUUGUACUAGCAAUCCUACAAAGAAAAGCUAGAAUUGCAUGGAUCAUUGACAUAAAGACUGAAUAGACUAUUUGCCACAUGCGCCGACCACUGAUCUGAUCACAUAUAGAAUAGUACUAUGACACAAAAUUCAAUUUCUUUACUGUGAGAUGGAUGGAGAGAUGCGGUCAGACAUAGACGACGAAGAAGAUGGCGAACACGUGUAACGAUGCGGAGCACUUUCUAAAAACUUGAGCAUCCAUCUACCCAUGCAUAAUGACGAAGCCAAGUUUCAGCUGUGUGGUCAACUGACCACACAACUAUUUUGAAAAAUCAUCAUAUACAAGUAUAACCUUAUAGGGGAAAAUAGGUAGUUUUUUACAUCAUAAUGUAUGACAUCAUAUGGUUCGAGCUCUAGCACCACCACCGCCUCUGCCUGUGCAGGUCCUCAAUCGCCACGAACAGUCCAGAGACUACUGCUUUCCUUGUCUAGCUGCACGACAGGAAGAGGAGUAGCGAGACUAGAAGAUGGCAAGCAUAGAGGAGAAGAGAUGAAUUUCUUCAGGUGUUCUUUGUCGAUGGGGACGUCUCCCCUUAUAGACUUUGUUCACUCCGAAACCACCAGCAAUAACUCAUCCUGCAUAUAUCCUAGGAACCGCAUUGGCUUAUGUCCACCAUGCCUAACCUCCUAACCGCGUGAGAAAUGUGCGAUUUUAUCCAUAGGUCAGUACGUGAGACAGGCGCAGACGUAUAUAAAGAUAAGAUGUGUGUGACAAAACAGAAGUUGUGAUUUUAACACCAAGCCACGUGUAAUUAAACGUGAAAUGUGAGUGAGCCUGUGUGUGUUGUACUACAUGGCAUAGCUUCUUCUUGAGGCCGGGGGCAUGGUCUCCUUUUUGAAGAAAAACUUCUUAUCGUCUCAUCUAAGAUAGUCAUGUGACAAACCUUUAUAUGUUGGCUCUCACUUGUGUCCCUCGGUAAUUUGGAACUAAUUUGUAACACACUAACCAGCCACCCUACUUGACCACUUCCAUUUUAGUUUACGUGCCCAAGGCCCAUCAACAACUUAACUUAAGGCUACUUGGAUUGUUUCGUUUAAUUAAGAUGGUUCGGUUCGGUCCAGCUAAUAAGAUACAAGAAUUACAGCCGGCAUAGUCAUUCGGCUCCUCGUCGCGCCACGUUGGGAGAUUUUGCUGGGAUUUUUGUUUGGCGAUUUUUGCUGGUCCACUGUCAGCGAAGAUAGCUUGUUGGGGCUGCAUGCAUGUCGACACGUACUGUUGGUUUAUGAUGCGGUGGCUGCUUGGAUCUUUCUUGUGUUUGUGUGCUGGGGAGUAAGAGGCGGUAACUACCAUUCUCGCAUCUUCUUCUCUCGCCAUAUAUGGUUGGCCACUGGCUGCUUCUGCUGUGUGGUUUCGGGCUGGUGAUCAGUGUCUGGUUUUCUUCGUCCGUUUGUCUGCUGUUGCGGCAAAGUCUCUCUCGGUCAGGCCGCAGGGGUGCCCUCCGCCCGCUGCUCCUCUAAACGGCGCCCACCUGCCUCUCCCACACCCACCUCGCCCUCUGCCCCCGCCUCGCCUCGCUUUCCUAGCCGUCGUGGCCGCUGCAACCCGAGCAGCGCGUAAUGCCACAUCUCUGCCUCCACCCUCGUUGUCUCUCCGCCGCCGUCGCCACUAUCCCCAACUCUGCCGCCUCCUCCCCAAUCCCCAUACGCCGCUGCAUCCGGCCCUCAUCUUUCUCUGAACCUGGGACGGGUGCGAUGAACCGCCGCCAAGGACCUGCGGCCUCCACGCGCCUGCGUCAUGAUCGAUGCCAACUAGCUACCUCACCGUCUGGCGGGAUUCACGCGCUGGUACCCCUCCCCAAGUUCCUAAAACGGCAACCUGCAGACUCCACCCAUGAAAAGGAGCCGCGAAGCAUCUUCGCACUGAUUUUGAUACCUUUACCACUGGAGCAUUUGGUAGGAAAGGAACGCCCAGAUCUUCCGGCAGGAGUUAAUAUUGUUGACAGGGUGUUUGAGCUGACCCUCUAUGAUCUUCAUUCCUGGAGAUCUGCCGGCUGUGUUGCUGAGUUUUGAGUUUCUGUUGUUUUUAGACGAUCUUCAGUCCUGGAGUUCUGCCGGAUGUGUUGCUGAGUUUUGAUUUUUUGCUGUUUUUCUUCCUUGCUGCACGGCAUUGUUUUGCCGCCGUUGGAGUGGAGAAUUCCCCUUAGCUGAUAACCUGUUCUUCAGGUUUAUCUUUCAUCUGUUUCUUUUCAGGCCUUGCUGCACGGUACUCUGUUUCUCUUCUUAAUAAAGUUCGGCCGCAGGCCCUUCAAUAUUCCCAUCGUUGGAUCUUAAUUGAGCAAUCAUGUUGUAGGCCUGUAGCCAAUAUCUCUACGUUUUGAAGUUAAUUUCGAUUUAAAUAAUGUUGAUUGGUUCUGUACUUCUGUAUAUUUACCAGCCUGUGAGAAGCUCUAUUUCUUUUGACAGAAAAGUCUUAUAAGUUCCAGCAAAAGAAGUAACUACAUAUUUCCGCUUUGCUGUUUCAAGACGUUGAUGUUGGAUUCUUAUUUUUUUUUUACCUUGCAGCAGUUUACACCAAAAUAUUCUUAUGCUGGAUCGCAAUGGAAGCCAGGUCACACUCUCGAAGUGAUAGCUGGUGUUACAUCUCCUCUUCAGAUUGAUUUUUUUUCCUGCACAACUGCUCAUUCUGCAACUAUGUAUAUUGUCACCUCAAUGUUGUAUGUGCACAUCAAGCUUUUUAUUUCCAAAAAUCAAUUGUUAGUGGGAGUGAAUAAAUACUUUUGUUAUUUAAUUCAUGUCAGGGUAAUCUAACAAGGAGAAGAAAGCAAUGAGCUAAUUAGUAUUGGUUGAUAUCCAUUGACCUGAGAGUUUAUAAGCUGUCUUGAUAUUUGUUACUUCUUCCUU